rnacentral:rRNA from 1 species
CACCGCCCGUCACACCAUGGGAGUUGGCUUUACCCGAAGCCGGUGCGCGAACCUCGCAAGAGGACGCAGCCGACCACGGUCAGGCCAGCGACUGGGGUG